rnacentral:lncRNA from 1 species
CCAACGACACCUUCAAGGGCUACGGCGUCGACAUGAACAACCCCACCAACACGUUCUCCAACUAUGCCGCCGGCGGCAACGGGGCCGUCGAGAAGUUCUCCAAUUACCGCGACAAGGCGAACGUGGGCGCCGACACCUUCACCUCGUACGCGAAAUCCGCAAACGCUGCCGACGUCGGUUUCAGCAACUACGGGAAAUCCUUCAACGAAGGCACCGACAAGUUCACCUCGUACGCGAAAUCCUCGAACGGCGGCACGAAGGUGGGUUUCACUUCCUACGGCGUGAACAACACCUUCAAGGAGUACUCAAAAGAAACCGCCACUUUCUCGUUCGCGAAGUACACAAACGUGAGCACCACGCUGAGCGUUUCGGC